rnacentral:rRNA from 1 species
CAAGUCGAGGGGCAGCGCAGUGUAGCAAUACAUGGGCGGCGACCGGCAAACGGGUGCGGAACACGUACACAACCUUCCUUUUAGUGAGGAAUAGCCCGGGGAAACCCGGAUUAAUACCUCGUAAUAUUAUGAUGUGGCAUCACAUUAUAAUUAUAGCUCCGGCGCUAGAAGAUGGGUGUGCGGCUGAUUAGGUAGUUGGCGGGGUAACGGCCCACCAAGCCUACGAUCAGUAACUGGUGUGAGAGCACGACCAGUCACACGGGCACUGAGACACGGGCCCGACUCCUACGGGAGGCAGCAGUAAGGAAUAUUGGUCAAUGGACGCAAGUCUGAACCAGCCAUGCCGCGUGGAGGAUGAAGGUCCUCUGGAUUGUAAACUUCUUUUCUCUGGGGCGAAAAAAGGGCUUUCUAGCUCACUUGACAGUACCAGAGGAAUAAGCACCGGCUAACUCCGUGCCAGCAGCCGCGGUAAUACGGAGGGUGCAAGCGUUAUCCGGAUUCACUGGGUUUAAAGGGUGCGUAGGAGGGCAGGUAAGUCAGUGGUGAAAUCCCCGAGCUUAACUUGGGAACUGCCGUUGAUACUAUCUGUCUUGAAUAUUGUGGAGGUAAGCGGAAUAUGUCAUGUAGCGGUGAAAUGCUUAGAUAUGACAUAGAACACCAAUUGCGAAGGCAGCUUACUACACAACUAUUGACUCUGAUGCACGAAAGCGUGGGGAUCAAACAGGAUUAGAUACCCUGGUAGUCCACGCCCUAAACGAUGGAUACUCGACAUCAGCGAUACACUGUUGGUGUCUGAGCGAAAGCAUUAAGUAUCCC